UCGAGGAUCUUCCGCAAUGGGCGCAAGCCUGACGGAGCGACGCCGCGUGUGGGAUGAAGGCCUUCGGGUUGUAAACCACUGUCACUCGUUAAGAAAGGGUCCGGCGUCAACAGCGUCGGGCACUGACGAAGGCGAGAGAGGAAGCCACGGCUAACUUCGUGCCAGCAGCCGCGGUAAGACGAAGGUGGCGAGCGUUGUUCGGAAUCACUGGGCAUAAAGCGCACGUAGGCGGUGCCGUAAGUCGGGUGUGAAAUCCCUCGGCCUAACCGAGGAACUGCGCCCGAUACUGCGGUGCGUGAGGACCAGAGGGGUGCAUGGAAUUUCCGGUGGAGCGGUGAAAUGCGUUGAUAUCGGAAGGAACUCCGGCGGCGAAAGCGAUGCACUGGCUGGUUUCUGACGCUGAGGUGCGAAAGCCAGGGGAGCAAACGGG
rnacentral:rRNA from 1 species